AUGGCCUGUGGGGAUCCUGUGGUGGGGCAUGAGGGGCAGGUGUGGGUCAGUGCAUUGUGGUCUGGUGCCAUCCUGUCAGCACGCCGUCCCCACCAGGUCGGUGUUAGGCCUCAAGGAGCCUGCCAAGUGCUUGUCUGUGCUGACCUCGACCUGCCUGUGAGGGAUCUGGUUUGUGUUUAUGAAAAUACAGGGGAAAAAAAAGAUGCUGUGAAAGUGAAGAACAUAUUGUUAAGAAUGAGAAUUUCCUGGCAGGCAGUCCUUCGAGGUCAUUUUAAUUUUCCAGACAUCUUCAUCAGCUGUUAUAAACCAAUAGCAGUUAUUACUUGGAAAUGGAAAUUAUUGAAAACGUAUAGAGAAAUUCCAAGUUUGUACAGUGAGUCUAUGCAGAAUCCUACAAAUCCUGUGAAACUAAGGAAGGUCUCCUGGAUUCACUGACAUGGAUAAUUUUGCUUUCUUUUUGUAUCCUCAAGUAGCCCCUCUCUACCACCCACAUACCCCUUGGGUUUUUUUUUUUUACUUUUUUUGCAAGAGUUUUGUGUCUGAGAACCAUGCCACAUCCCACACAAUCCUUUAUGAAAAAGAAAAAAUGUAAACUAUAUAACCCUUCCAGAACAUGUUUUGAAACCACAGCAGCCAUCUGGUUUUCCAGAAGGCCUGCUGUUCUUUUCAUGUUUGGAGGAAUAGUUUGAUAACAAACUUGUCUAAUAAAUAUAGAGCUGAAAGACA
rnacentral:lncRNA from 1 species